UGGGGAAUAUUGCGCAAUGGGGGAAACCCUGACGCAGCAACGCCGCGUGAGUGAAGAAGUAUCUCGGUAUGUAAAGCUCUAUCAGCGGGAAGAAGGAAGACGGUACCCGACUAAGAAGCCCCGGCUAACUACGUGCC
rnacentral:rRNA from 1 species